UACGACAUAGUUAGUUUCAGGUAAAUGAACUUCUUGUAAUAAAAUACCCACCCCCAGUCAAACCAUUUAAAGUUCUUCUUCAAGACAUGUACAAAAACCAACUCCUCCACCACGGACUGAUCAUACAUCCAUGUCCAGUGAAUCCCACCUGGAGGAACCAGCCAAGGCGGAAAUUGCUCAGAUGCACAGCUGGAAACCUCACUGCUCCUGCUCCUUAUCAUGUAUGACCGGCGCAGAGGCUGUGCAUACCGUCGUCCAGUCUGUCAUCACCGUGUCAUUAAAGCCUCUCCGUCUCUCCUCCGGCUGGUCAUUCUUCUGCAUCCCCCCUCCCCCCCCCGGACAGAAAUUCCUUCGUUCCCUUGCAUGCGACUGAUCUUAGGAGUCGUUCUGACCACCUCUAUUUCUGACAUGGGAAUCUGUGCUGUCACAGCCUGUCGGACGGUAGAGGUGGAUGGAUGAAGAGCUGCAGCCGCGGAGACAGUGUCACUCCAUGAGGAGUUGAUGGAGGCUGUCAGGAGGAAGAGCUAUUGUGGGGCAUGGCUGUUGUGCACUGUUAGCAUUUGUGAGGACCUUUUGAAUGGACUCAAAAUAACUAGAAGAAAAUACUUUAUUCCUCACUGUAACAUUACGAGGAGGAAAAGCUUCACAUACCGCCUUCAUAGCUCUUAUUCCAAAUGGUCAGCGAAUGCAUCCUCGACACAUCUUUCUUGAUCAAACAAAACUACCUCAACAAAAAUGUGCAGGUGGAUGUCCAAAACACACACGCAUACAGUGUUUGAGUGUUGAGUGUAUGCAUGAUAAAACAACUGGCCUUCAGGUGUGCACCCCUGGCGGCGCUAUGUAAAGGAGAGGGACAGCGGAAUCAUGGAGUUGCGGUGAAAAAGGGGAAACUGGGGGGGUAGGGAAAGUUUGGUGUGUGUGUGUUUGUAUGCGUAUGUCGGUAUGUCUGUCAGUGUGUCCCUGCGCGCACUGACUGUCACAGUCCAUAUUAAGGAUGUAAAGCAAUUCUUACCAGAUUACUGAUUACUCACUGAUGUCCAGUGAUCUCCAGUUCAUGUGACAUCAUUUGCACUCUUCAGGAGUUCCACUUUGGUUGCUUUCUCCAUUUAAAACAGGUCCUGUAUACAAUAAACUAUUGUUCCCCCCUGGCAAUAAGGCGUAUGACUGGUGACAACAUGCUCGUACAAGUGGCUUCACGUCUUGCAUUCGACCACAUUACAGCCAGCGUAGUCUGGCAGUAUCUGCAUAUUGUUUCUCCUUUCUCAUUCCUUGACGUGGGACCUGAAACACUUCCACACAUCAAAUGAAAAAUCUGUUGGAGCCUCCACAAUUUCAAAAUCGCCUAUCUGUUUCUCGCCUUCCAUUUCCACUGGGUGCAAGGCACGAUGGGAACAUAGGAUAAUGAUCUCUGUAGUUUCCACCCCCUCUGCACUGUUCCACUGUGGCUGAAACAAAACUACCCUAUCAAUUCAUACAGAUACUUUUGAUCUUGCAAUACUAAAAUUGAUGACCUUUACAUCCUAUUUACUAUUCAAGUAUUAUUUCAGAGGUGUAAAAAAUCGUGUCUGUGGGACUCAUCACAGGGCCAGACUUGUGUCUGUGCCUGUUUGUUGUGUCUGUGCACAUGAAUAAAUGUUUUGAAGACUCA